UUUCAUUUUUCUUUCAGACGUACUGUAAUAGACAUGGGCUACAUCCCACCUAGGCCCUUCAGACUGGUUGGGUUAUAACCCUAAAAGUAACUGCUGUUAUUUAAUCUCACUGUUUUUACUACAGAGACUGUACGUAUCCAUUUCGCAAUCAGUGUAGACCCUAGCAACGAGUCUAACAGUGGCUGUGGGGUUAAAUCCUUUUCAUUCAUUCCCUGUAAUAUGCUGAAACACAGUACAGUACGGCAGUGCAUAGGGGAGUUUGAUUUCAAGCAGAUACUGACCCCAACAAUGAACAGAUUUAAUCUGAUUAGAAAGCGGCAGUCCCUGUAAAGCAGGGUGCUUGUGCGGGACCAGCCAGUGAGUUUACCCACUCAUGCCAUCUGUUAAGAGGCUGCUCCAAAGUUCAGCUUGGAUUCACAAGCCCCAGGAGUUCUACCAGCUUGCUUACUUCUCCUGUCCGCUGGAUCGUGGCGCGUGCGUGCAUGUGUAUGAGUUAUGUUUGUAUGUGUGUACGUGUGUUCAUGUGUGCAUGUCUGGACCCACCUCUGCUCCAAAUACCAAACCGAUUGUCCCUGCAUUCACACAGGCAUGUAGGAGGCUGGCUGUCUUCAGAACAGGGUGGUUUACAUGAAUUACGCGUUUCACUCCGGCUUUGAAGAACUGCUUGGUUUGUGGCCUUAAGUGCAAAAAUCAAAGCAAAGUCUCUCUUUCUCUGUCAUUCUCUGAUGUAUAGCGCCACCAUCAUGCUGAGACUGACUAAUGAAAUCUUUGCCAAUGCAUUGAGGCCUUAUACUGUAUGUCUCAAGUUCAGUUGAGCCUGCCCUCUUUUUAUUUCCUAACCGCUGAUAAUCACCUCUAUUCACAGAUUAGAUUUACAGGCACUUCUCUGGCGUUAUUUAAUUUCUGACUGAAUUUAUUAUGCACAAGAAAGUGACUGACUUUUUUAUUAUUAUUAUUAUUAUUAUUAUUAUUAUUAUUUUUGGAAUACUUUCAAGAGAAGUGACGCACAGUACAAAAUAUAAAGAUUACAGACUACAAUUUUGCCAGAAUAUUUUUGGAAAUAUGAUUGUUAUUUACACCUUUUAAGAAGCAAUCUAGAUGCAAUUCACUACAUUAACAAUGGAAUAAUUUACUUUACAUGGAUUUAUUGCUUUGGAGGCUGUACAGAUAGGGUUUGAAUUAUGAGUCUGUGUUGGAAAUUUGUCUGGAUCAACUUAAUAAAUCAGAAUGGAUCUAAAACUCUUAUGUAUGC
ensembl:lncRNA